rnacentral:rRNA from 1 species
UACAGAGGUCUCAAGCGUUGUUCGGAAUCACUGGGCGUAAAGGGAGCGUAGGCGGCGUGGUAAGUCAGAUGUGAAAUCCCGGGGCUCAACCCCGGAACUGCAUCCGAUACUGCCGUGCUUGAGGGUUGGAGAGGUAGCUGGAAUUAUCGGUGUAGCAGUGAAAUGCGUGGAUAUCGAUAGGAACACUCGUGGCGAAGGCGACAUCCUGGACCGGCAUUGACGCUGAGGCGCGAAAGCCAGGGGAGCAAACGGG